rnacentral:rRNA from 1 species
GCUGGCGGCGUGCUUACACAUGCAAGUCAAGGGGGCCCGCAAGGGCAACCGGCGAACGGGUGCGUAACACGUGAGCAACCUGCCUUCGAGAGGGGGAUAGCCGGCCCAACGGCCGGGUAAUACCGCAUACGCUCAUCUGCCGGCAUCGGUGGGUGAGGAAACGUUUACGGCUCGGAGAGGGGCUCGCGGCCUAUCAGCUAGUUGGUGGGGUCACGGCCUACCAAGGCGACGACGGGUAGCUGGUCUGAGAGGAUGGCCAGCCACAUUGGGACUGAGAAACGGCCCAGACUCCUACGGGAGGCAGCAGUGGGGAAUCUUGCGCAAUGGCCGAGAGGCUGACGCAGCGACGCCGCGUGGGGGAUGAAGCAUCUCGGUGUGUAAACCCCUGUUGCUCGGGACGAACGAUCCUUUUCGAGGGAUGUGACGGUACCGAGUGAGGAAGCACCGGCUAACUCCGUGCCAGCAGCCGCGGUAAUACGGAGGGUGCGAGCGUUGUCCGGAAUCACUGGGCGUAAAGGGCGCGUAGGUGGUUGGAUGCGCCGGUGGUGAAAGCGCAGGGCUCAACCCUGCGUCGGCCAUCGGGACGGUCCGACUGGAGCACUGUAGAGGCAGGUGGAAUUCCGGGUGUAGCGGUGGAAUGCGUAGAGAUCCGGAAGAACACCGGUGGCGAAAGCGGCCUGCUGGGCAGUUGCUGACACUGAAGCGCGACAGCGUGGGGAGCAAACAGGAUUAGAUACCCUGGUAGUCCACGCCGUAAACGAUGGGUACUAAGUGCUUGGGGGAGCGACCCCCUGAGUGCCGACGCUUACGCAUUAAGUACCCCGCCUGGAGAGUAC